AGCGAACGUUAGCGGCGGGCCUAACACAUGCAAGUCGAGCGAGAAAGUGGCUUCGGCCAUCAGUAAAGCGGCGGACGGGUGAGUAACACGUAGGUAAUCUUCCCUUGAGCGGGGGACAACGUUUCGAAAGGAACGCUAAUACCGCAUAAGUUUCCGAGGCCUCCGGGUUUUGGAAGGAAAGCUAGGUCGCAAGAUCCGGCACUCGAGGAGGAGCCUGCGUCGCAUCAGCUAGUUGGUGGGGAAUGGCCUACCAAGGCGAAGACGCGUAGCUGGUCUGAGAGGAUGAUCAGCCACACUGGGACUGAGACACGGCCCAGACUCCUACGGAGGCAGCAGUGGGGAAUAUUGGACAAUGGGCGCAAGCCUGAUCCAGCCACGCCGCGUGAGUGAUGAAGGCC
rnacentral:rRNA from 1 species